AUUCAAGUGAGAUGAGACUAUCACUUGCUCUACAGACUACAGCUCUAGCCUGAAGAGUAGAGCUCACAAGUAAGUCUUAAUAUCCACACCAAAGUGACAGAUUCACGCAAGAAUAUUAAGGCACUCAGUCUAGAAAGCCUACUGACCGCACGUCACGUGACAUCACUAGCCAGUGAGAAACAGAUGAAAACACAACUUCAGCUAUGUCUCUUGGGAUACUACUGAGUUCCAAGAAGAAUAUGCUUUAAAAACAUCAAUUCUCAGUCAUAAUUCUACUAUUCUGAACAAACAAUCAGUAAAAUAAGACUACGACAGGACUUCAGCUAAUUCUAGACAAAUCUAUUUAGAGUACAGUGUAACAACACGUAACUAAUAAACCCAGUAUUUAUCUAUUUAUUUCAGAGACAUAAUGUUCCACAAAAAAAUCAGCCAAGUAAAGCACCAGCAGGUAAACACGGCAGAGUGUCCGGCUCUACGAGCUGUAACAACUCUUCCUGGUCUGACCUCAGUAAUCACCAGCUUUCACCCAACUAGGAAACCCACACGAGCAAUUCUGGAUUCUGGCACCCAUGCGUACGAAGUACUGAACACUGAAGUUGUUGAAGGGAUAGGAGACGUCUGCAUUCUGGAAUUCAGGAAGGGAGAAAAGGCCCCAACCAUGAAAUUCUGAGUAUAAAUGGAUUCCAAAUUCAAGAUCGUCAAUGAGAAGGCUCGCUGCUAAGCACUGCUCAGGAAGCGGCUGCCAAAGAAGCCAGGGAUGGAGAGCCCUGGUUACGUCGGUCCGAUUAGACAAAGAAUCUCUGAAUAUGACAGCAUGUAAACAGAUGAACACAACCAGCAAGAGGAAUGUAAUCCCGAAAAGGUUCUCAGAGAUGUCUACUGGCUUUCCUUUUGUCUUAAUUUCAUUAAGAGCAUUUCUAAAAUAAGCCCAAAGUUUUAUAACUGAAAACUAGAGACCUGAAAUAAUUGGGACGAAAUUUAACUGCAUGCCUUCCAUUCUACUGCAUAUCUAAUUUCUGUUUCCUGAUUAACAUUUUUUUGAAAAACUAAUUAAAAAAAAUUUUGGCUUUCCAGACAUUCAUGAGGAAACUGAUCAACGCCAAAUAAUUUCACUUCUAAGCAAAUAUUUCUCAGGGAAUUUAAUGAAGGCGGGGGCGGGGGGAGAAACAUGAAAAUCUUAACAGCACUGUGAUUAGUAUAAUUUAUGAUUUUUGUUUACUAAUAGCCAAAAUUUAAGAGCCAGAGAGGCAAGAAAAAAGUUUCUCAUAUGAAACAGGUUCAACAAAGAUAUGGGGAAUGACUGCCAGCACUUAUCUUCUCAUUCCAGUAAAUUAAAGCCUUACUGUUUCUCACUCCACUGGCUCAUACACAUCUUCGGCAACACAAACUUUAGUGCCCUUACUGGGAUCCGUGACCAAACAACAAGUAAUUAACUUUCAAGUGGAGAGGCUUCCACAGAACGAUGUCCAUGAUUUUCAUCCCCAAUCUAAAUUUAUACAAAGCAAACUAAUCACACCCUUUAAAACAUUCUCUCUCUUUCCCAGGAAAGUAUCGUUAUCCAAUUCAACAAAGCGUAACUAUUAAACCACUCAUUUGUACUGCAUUCGGAUUUUGCUUUAAGAUGUCACUGACACCCUUGAAACCCUUGAAUGAAAAAGCUAAUUAUUUCAACUCUGCUUUUAUUUCUGUAACAACAAUACCAAAGCAAAAUCCAGAAGUCUUCAACAGGAGCACUCUGACUUCAAAGAGGGCUCGUUAUCUGUACCUGCUUUGCCUGUCA